rnacentral:rRNA from 1 species
UACGAAGGGGGCUAGCGUUGCUCGGAAUGACUGGGCGUAAAGGGCGCGUAGGCGGCGCAGUUAGUCAGGCGUGAAAUUCCUGGGCUCAACCUGGGAACUGCAUUGGAAACUGGCGAGCUUGAGUAUGGCAGAGGGGGGUGGAAUUCCGCGUGUAGCAGUGAAAUGCGUAGAGAUGCGGAGGAACACCGAUGGCGAAGGCAGCCCCCUGGGCCAAUACUGACGCUCAGGCACGAAAGCGUGGGGAGCAAACAGG